CCCAGACCAUACUUUGCGUCCUCGAUGGGGCCAGAGCGCCCAGGCAGCUUGUUCACAGAGCUCUUUUGCUGAGUCGCGUAAUGAGAUGCGCUGGCCUUUAUUUAUAGGAUUGCCUCAAGGAUAUGACAGGAAGAAUUGAGUAUGCUGCCAAGAUAUUAAAUGAAAUUCCCCGGGAAGCCAAUGAAUGCAUUCAAAAGAACCUCUGAGGCAGAAACGAGGAAGAAACGGGCAAGGUAAGUCACACAUAAUGAUCUCAGUUUGUGUCCAUUGAUCUGGCCAUAAUGUGCCUUUGGGAAGGGAAUGGCUGUAAAGUUCGUUCGUUCUUUUUUCUUUUUUUAAAAGUCACUCCCAUGCUUCCAAGGGGGUUGGGGCGUUGGCGGUGGUGGCAAGUUUGCCAGCUGAACUAAUUGGGUCGCAGGAGUUUCUUGCCAAAGUCUUCCCCUUCUUUGUGCGUUGGCUCUGAAGUAUUUUAAAAGAAAGAUGCCUGGAAGUGCCACAAAACUCCUGGCUGCAGUAAAGGAUGGAUGGAUUCAUUGAUUUCUGGUUCUUGUUAGCUCAAGAACUGUUAUGUACUAAGCUUGGAUCCUAGAACAAUAGGCAAGUAGGAUCCUAGAAUGCAACAGCUGAUUUGCCUGCAGGAAAAGACCAAUCAGGCUCCAGGAGGGAAGGAGAAUCAGCCAAUCAGACGGGAUUUAUUGUGUAAAUUGUGUAUAUAAAAGCCUGAGGUUUGGGGGGCAAUUCAAUCACUGUUUCUAAGAGCUGCAGUAAAGAGCAUGAAAUCACUAUAGGACUCCGAGUAUAUUUCAAGAACAUAAGGCAAUCCAGUCCAGCAUCCUUUUCUCACAGUGGCCAAGCAGAUUCCUGUGGGAAGCUCAUAAGCAGGACAUGAGCCCCAGAGCCCUGUCACCUUUGUGGUUUCUGGCAAGUGGUAUUGCUUCCUCUGACCAGGGAAGCAGAGCUUAGCCACAUGUGUCUGGUUGCAAGUCUGUUCUAUCCCAUUUGCUGCAAUUUUUUUUUUAAAGCACAAAAAUUGUAUUUAAUGUUUAUGCAUUUGUUGAGCGCCAGGUUUGAUUCAAGGUGUAGAUCAUGCAAACUGGGGGAGGAAAAUUGUGUUGCGAUUUGCAUCAGUACAGGAAAUGCAAAUAAGGUCCGUCCAUUUCAAAAUACAGACGGGAAAAGGAAAUCUCCAUCAUCCCCUGGUUACAUCCUUGUCUGCCAACUCAGGUUAUUUUAUUUUAAAGAACCUCUGGUGGUAUCUUGUGGCUGCUGGCUUGGAUUCACCAUCUUAUCGGCAUGGUUGUGGAGCUGUUUUUAAAAAAAUCAUUUUUAUUGAUUUUCCAAUCAAAAACAUCCAAUUAAUAUAUCAAAUCAUAAUACUCCAAUUAACAUAAAAAACUAAAAUAAAAAAGACCAAAUUAUAGUCCAAAUUAUAAUUAUUAAUUUUUCAGAGCUCCCCACGAAGCAUAUCUCCACAUCUCAGUCCUGCCUCUCCUUGUCGUUUCCGUAUUUUCCACAUCUCGAUUUUGACGCUUUAUAAUUCUCCAUCCCUGAGUCCACGAUUCUCAAUCAUGUCAAACAUCAUAUACUUUCAUCCGUCGAAUACAGUUUUAUUAGCAUAUAUUUUUCCAACUGCCUUUUUAUCAGCUCAGCUUCCUCUGACUCCAUUCAAAUCUGGGAUGUUGUCCAAGUCUGUUAUCUGAAGUUUAAUGGUGCAGCAACUCCCAAUCAUUAAUUGUCCAAACCUUCCUUUUCAGCUUUAUUAAACCAGUACAGUGGCACCUCGAGUUAAGUACUUAAUUCGUUCCGGAGGUCCGUUCUUAACCUGAAACUGUUCUUAACCUGAAGACCACUUUAGCUAAUGGGGCCUCCCACUGCCGCUGCGCUGCCAUCAUGCGAUUUCUGUUCUCAUCCUGAAGCAAAGUUCUUAACCCGAGGUACUAUUUCUGGGUUAGUGAAGUCUGUAACCUGAAGCGUAUGUAACCUGAAGCGUAUGUAACCUGAAGAGUAUGUAACCCGAGGUACCACUGUACCUUCCAAGUUAAGGUUCAACAUCUUUAUGCGCCCCCUAGCCCAGCUUGUCCGGAGUUUUGGGCUGGGUUGCCAUCAGUAUGCCGAUGACACCCAACUCUAUCUGUUGAUGGGUGGCCAUCCUGACUCGGCCCCAGACACACUGACCAGAUGUUUGGAAGCUGUGGCUGGAUGGUUACGUGGGAGCCGGUUGAAGCUAAAUCCUUCGAAGACAGAGGUCCUGUGGCUGGGACGGGAUGAUAUCGGAUUGGGGGGGCAACUCCCAUCUCUUGCGGGGGCACAAUUAGUGCCAGCACCAUCCGUUAAGAGUUUGGGUGUAAUCUUCGACACCUCCCUUUCCAUGGAGGAACAGAUUGCAGCUAUAACAAAGGCGGCAUUUUUCCAUCUCCGCCAAGCUAAGCAGUUGGCUCCUUAAAUCUCUCGCCCUGACCUAGCCACUGUGAUCCACGCGACGGUCACCUCCAGACUGGAUUAUUGUAACUCGCUCUACGUGGGGCUGCCCUUGAGACUGACCCAGAAACUCCAGCGGGUGCAGAAUGCUGCAGCGAGACUCCUUAUGGGGUCUUCGCUGCGAGAUCACAUUCACCCGGUGCUAUACCAGCUGCACUGGCUCCCGGUGGAGUACAAGAUCAGGAUUAAGGUGCUGGUUUUAACCUUUAAAGCCCUAUACGGCCUAGGACCCUCGUACCUACGGGACCGCCUCUCCUGGUAUGCCCCACAGAGAAACUUACGGUCUUCAAAUAAAAACAUCUUGAAGGUCCCAGGCCACAGAGAAGUUAGGCUGGCCUCAACUAGAGCCAGGGCUUUUCGGCUGUGGCUCCGAUCUGGUGGAACACUCUGUCACAAGAGACUAGGGCCCUGCGGGACUUGACAUCUUUCUGCAGGGCCUGCAAGACAGAGCUGUUCCACCAGGCCUUUGGCCAGGGCACAGCCUGACUCCCUCCCUUGGCAAUCUUCGCGGAGCUCUGGCCCAAUGGUUGCCAGUGGCUUGAUACGAAUUAAUUUUAUAAUGAAUGAUUUUAGAGUGUUGUUUGUGCUGUACUUUUGUACUGUUUUAUUGUUGUUAGCCGCCCUGAGCCCGGCUUUGGCUGGGGAGGGCGGGAUAUAAAUAAAAUUUAUUAUUACUAUUAUUAUUAUCAUUAUUAAAUUGUUAGGCAAAACUGUUUGCAAUAUUGCAAUGUAGAUAAACCGUAUUCCACAAAUAUCAGUCAUUUGGCGAUUGAUCAGCCUUUGGAGAUUGCACUCUCCCCCCCUCCGGGCCCUAGAGGGGGGGUUGCUAGACACCACUUAGCCUUAUUUCUUGCUCAUAAUGAAUAUGUGGAGCUGUUAACAUGGCAAGGAGCCAAUCUCAGGUCUCCAGCUGAGGAUUCCUGCAGACCUAGAUGCUGAGCAGGACAAGAUGUUGCUGCAGAAACAAUAAAGGGUCAUGUAGAUAGAACUCUUUGGUUUAGGGUGCCUCCUCCCAGUGCCAGGGACUGGACAUCAGAGGAGGAAUGGUGGAGAUGGCCUCCCCCUUCUCCUGAACCUUCCUGAGAAGAGGAGGACAGUACAGUGGUACCUCAGGUUACAAACACCUUGGGUUACAAACACUUCGGGUUACAAACUCCGCUAACCUGGAAGUAGUACCUCGGGUUGAGAACUUUGCCCCAGGAUGAGAACGGAAAUUGUGCAGCGGCGGCGCGGCGGCUGUGGGAGCCCCCGUUAGCAAAAGCGCGCCUCAGGUUAAGAACGGUUUUGGGUUAACAACGGACCUCCCGAACGAAUUAAGUUCGUACCUGAGGUACCACUGUAUAGAUUAACAACGGUGGUUUGCAGAGGGUCACAGCUCAGAGAUAGAAGAGGGGCAAAGCUGGGAGAUAAUGGGAGAAGCAGAGCAGGAACAGCUGGCUGACACAUUAUCACUAGAGAGUAUUCCAGACCCCCAUUCUCCCAGAACAUGGCGAGCAAUGAAAGUAGGAGAGCCGAGAGCCCAGAGGCAAUUGUCCCUAAGCAGACACCGUAAGGGAGGUGGGGUUGUUGAUGACUGAGAAGGGAAGGGGGGGGAGGAGAUAACUCGGAGCAUCGCCAUUAUCCAAGAGAUGGCGUUCUAUGUCUCACUCUGUGAAUAUUGAAUAUAAUACUUUGGUAAGAGCUUCUUGUCUUUCCAUUACUGCCGCGAGGGAGGGGGAUCGGAUUCCCUGAAGCCUGACACCCAGAGGGCUACAAGAUGGAACGUUUUCACUGCCAAACACAAACCAAAAGAAAAAACCACUUCCAUCCCUGGUCCUGGAGGGUUCUGGCUGGGUCAGGGUACAAGAGGCCCCUUGGUUCUGCAAACACAUUGGGUGGGGAUCUUCCAGGGUGGUGGCAGUGUUGGUUUAGUUGCCUUGCUCUUCUGUCUCCCUUUGGCCCCAUAUGUGUCCUCUGAGCAGGUCUUGUCUGUCUUCACCUUGCGUUCUUUGUAUGCCGCUUGCUUGCAAGAUUGCAAUCCAUAUGCCAUUUUGCUACCCAAGAAAUGUUGCUUUUGCAGUUCUGGGCAUGAGGUACACAAGGCAGUGCCCGUGGACAGAGCUGGCAUGCUGCCAUCCCAACAGCUGGCGGCGGAAGUGAACAGCAGCCAGGUGGCUAUGUAGAGCAUUAAAUGCAUUUGUCAGGAGCAUGAAAGUGGGCCAGAGUAGUGUCACGACGUGUGUGUGUGUGUGUUUGGUCAGAGCUCUCAAACCUGCUCCCAAAGGGAAGGGAGUAUGUCUGAAAACUCCACUUCUUCAAUGGGCUUCUCCACAGAAAACAACACCAGGCAUGGACAGCAUAAUUUUGGAAGAGGUUGCUGAUCCAGAUUGGUCUGUUGCAGCAGUGUGGAUGAUUGAGGCGGGUGCCAACUUGGAAGCUCAUCUAACAGGGCCUUGGCAGAAAAAGGAGCCUCUGUUGUUUCAAGGGGGUGGCCAAAAUUUGAGGGAAAUGUGGCCUUCACCCCAGUUUAGGUUACUAUGCCAGCAACUCCUGCCCACAUUCUAAACUAGCCUAUUUGCUUUGGGUAAAACUAGAUGUGGCUUCAGAUUUAACCUGUAAUCAAAUCUCUGCAUGUUGUUGUUUUUUUAAAUCAGAAAGAAGUCAGGUAUCUUUGCCUGAAUUCUUUGUGAGUGUGUGUGUUUCUCUGUCUUGUAGCUGUGAGUGCAGGUUCAAAGUGCAACAGAAGAGCUCGUUCUGUUUGUAACUUUGGAGUUACUUCUGCUGGCGUUGAAACCACUGGCUAGGAGGGUGUGUGUGUGUGGAGGCGUUCCUUAGGAACCAGGCAGAGUGCUCUGAUUGGCUGUGUAGUUCUGAGGGAAUUUUCCCACUGUAUGUUUAACUGAAUGCCACCCUGCUCUGUACAUGGCCUGAAGUAGGGGGGCAGGGUAGAGGAGGCAGGAGCAGCAGAGGCAGCAAGAUGUCGCCUCAAGUGGCAAAAUGUCCUGGGCUGACCCUGACUCAACCAAUCUCCACUUACUUGCAGCCAAUCAGAGGGUGGCUCUGCCUUCCAUUGUCUCUAGCUCCACCCACUGUUGGUCUCCCUAUCUUGCACCCCACCAGCUCCAAUGGGCAGCAGCCACCACUGGGUAGGUGAACAGGUGGCAGCAGGAAGAAUGAGCAGUACCAAGGCCAGCAGGUUCCAGGGACUGGUUGUGGACCCAUGACAGGGGCAUGGGCCUCUGGCGAAGCCCAGCGUUGCCAACCACUGAUGACGACCCUGGUCUUGGAUUCUUGAUGUGAACUGCUGCAGCCUAGUGGUUAGAGUGUUGGACAUGGACUGGGGAGACCAGAGUUCCAAGCCACCACUUGGCCAAGAGACAAGCUGAGCUGCCAGGGCCCAGUCACUACUGACCUACCUCUGAGGGUUCUUGUGAGGAUGAAACAGGGUGAGGGGGAACUAUGCGUGUCACAUUGAGCUCCUGGGAGAAAAUGUGGGCUAUAAAGGAAGGAAGGAAGGAAGGAAGGAAGGAAGGAAGGAAGGGCCACUUUGGAGUCAGGAACCAGAUAAUUUGGAACUCUGAAUUCAGGGAGAGUUUUGAAACUCCAAGCUGAAAUCCACAAACUUCUUCUAGGUGUUAGUAUUUAAAGCCCUUAACACCUUUGAAUCAUAGAAUCGUAGAGUUGGAAGGGACCCCGAGUAUCAUCUAGUCUGACCCCCUGCAAUGCAGGAAUCUCAGCUAGAGCAUCCAUGACAGAUGGCCCUCCAACCUCUGCUUAAAAACCUUCAAGGAAGGACAGUCCCCAAGGGAGACCAUUUCACUGUCAAACAGCUCUUACUGUCAGAAAGUUUUUCCGUAUGUUUAGUCGGAAUCACCUUUCUUGUAACUUGAAGCCUUGGGUUCGAGCCCUACCCCCCGGGAGCAGGAGAAAACAAGCUUGCCCCCUCUUCCUGAGUCCUUGAGGAGGCGUUUUUAGAUUCUCUGUCCUUCUUUGUCCUAGGUAGGAGAGAGAAUUAUUCGCCGGCACGACUAUUUUUGCAAGCCUACUAGGACCUGCCAUCUUCUUCCCAGUGGCCCAUUAGUCAUCGAGCUCCCCACCUGACUUAAGUUUGCGCCGAGCUGCAAGUAGGGGCUGUUCGUCACAAUGACUAAUUGGCCUUGUGUUAUUAUGUCUAUCUGUCAUUGCUUUUGCAGGCUGGGGGGCUGGGGAGGGGACCCUGGGCCGUAAUAGAAGCCGCGAACAUUUCUGUGCAUUACAAAUGGGACAAGGUUGUUGUGUAUAAAUCCACAGCCUGUUGGGGAAUGCAGGUUCUCCUGCCGGCCGACUAGGCUCUACAGUAUUGAUCUAUAGCUUAGUUCAAUCCCCGAUCUGUCGGGCAGUAUUGAUCUCUGAGCUACCUGUUUAAAUUUGUAUUAACAGCCCAGGUGGAAACGAAUGGAGACAGCAAAACGGCAGUGCUGGCUUGGGAUCACUAAAAUUUAAGUACCUCUAAAAGCAGAUGAUUGAUACAUAUUAAACUCCAGCUACGCGAAGGUUCGAUGGCCUCUGCAAAUUCAGGGCAUGGCCUGUAUAUCAUAGCAAGAGGUUUAAUGACCCCAGGAGAAAGAGAAUAAUCCUUCCUUCGUAUUUCAAGCGAAAGGUGCGAGAGGAAAUGUCUGUCAGGGACUGGACUGAGGAGGAAUGGUGGGGACCGGCCCCCUCCUCCCGAGAAGGGAACAGUAUAGAUUUAGAAUAGUGGUUUGUGGAAGGUCAUAGUUCAGAGGCUGCAGAGGGUAGAAGCUGGGAAAUAUUGGAAGAGGAGCAGGAAGAAGAAGAAGCACUAGGGGAGAGACAACUGACAGACUCGGUGUCUUUAGAAAGCAUUCCUGACCCCCCUCUCCCAGGACCAGGCGGGCACUGAGAGCAGGAGCGAACAAAAGUGUCAUGACACCCAGGGCUGGGCAUUGCUACAUAGAGCGCAUGUGCAGCGUCGCUAAGUAUGACGCAUGUGCAGUAUGUAGUGACGCCGCACAUGCGCUGCACACACCGGUUUGCCGGUGACGCUGCUCCAGCGCCAUACGGACGGUGCUGGGAUCCCUCAGUCACCGCUACAACUGUGAAUGGAGGAUCCUCUACAGGCGGCUGUAGCGGCGAUGGAGGGAUCCCACCGCCAUCCGUACAUCGCUUGAGAGGUGCUGGCGGCAAACUGCUAUGUACAACGCAUGUGCAGCAUCGUUAUGUACAGCGCAUGUGUGCGACGUCGCACAUGCACUGUACGUAGCGGUUUUCCGCCAGGGCCGGGAUCCUCUGCUUGUGGCUGCAGCCGCAACAGAGGUUCCUCCACAUGCGGCUGCGGCGGCGCGAUGGCUGCUUGUGCCCCCGCAGGGUGCCUUCUUGUCACCCCCCCAGACAUGGCACCCGGGGCGCACUGCCUCCCCCAUUGUGACGCCACUGAUUGAGAGUAGAAGAACAGAAAGCUCAGAGGCAGAAAACACAGAUCAGCCGGCUCAAGGGUGACAUAGAAUAGGAGGGGCUGAGGGGGUGGGACUUUACUCGGAGCAACACCAUUAUCUAAGAGAGACGGUAUUUCUACAUUCUCUCUCUGUGAAUAUUGAAUAAAAGAAUUGGUAAGAUCUCUUCUUGUUUAUCUACUUCUUGGCUGCCACCGUGGGAGGGAUUCCCUGAAGCCUGACAAUGUCCUGGAGAAAAGGGAGUGCAUCAGGAGUUCAUUAGAGUCGGCCAGCUUGUUGGUUUGGCCAGGCUCCCGUGUCUUUGGCUGCUUCUUACACAGCUGGUCAUCAGUUGGCAAUGCUUUGUCUGGUGUGCAUAACUCCAUACUCUCCAACAUUUCUUGAAUGAAAAUAGGGAUUCUGGGAUCAAAUCAGAAACCGGGAUGGCUUCUGUAAAUUCAGGACUGUCCCUAGAAUAUUUUAAUCCUCUCCCUCAGCCGGGUGCUAUUGUAUUUCAAUCAUUUUAUUGUACAUCGCAUCAAUGAAAUGAAAUGAAUGAAUAUAAAAGCUUGAUUGUUUAUUUCUUUUAAAAAUAUCGCAGGUAGUGAAACGUUGCCCCCAUUAUUUAACAAAUGCUUCUACACUUGUAAAAAUAGAUAACAAAAAAGACACCACACUCCCUUGCACCUCAUUAUGGCAAUAAAAUGCUGUUAAACCGCCACUGUCGCAACCUGUUUUCCACCAGGUGACGGCGCUGUUGCUUUACAUAAAUCCUCAUUGCUAUCUGAAAUGUACAAUUCUACUGACACUCUCUCCCUGGCAUUCAAUUGCCGCUGAACCUUCAUUUGAGUUAGACAGAAACGUGGUCGGCAAAUGUGAGUCCAGCCUUGGUUUCAUCACCUGGGGGAACUCCCAGCUGUGGCUUGCAGAGAUGUGGAAAGGAAAUUUGCUUUGUGGCGAUGGAGAGCACCAGGUGAUGCCUUGGGGAGGGGGGCAUCUUUUCUUUAGAAGCAUGGUAGCCUCUUCCAUGGAUUUCUGUGGCCUGUUUUAAUUUACCGUAUUUUUCCAUGUAUAACACGCUCCCAUGUAUAAGAUGCCCCCUAUUUUUGGGGACUCCAACUUAAGAAAAAGGGGGAAGAUUGCCCAGAGCUGUUGAGCUUUUUUUGGUGGUGGGGGGGGUGGACCUGAGUUGUUGAGACUUUUUUAGGGGAAAUGUUGCCAAAUACGCUCACCCAUCUGACCUCCGCUACUGCACACAUGCCAAAAUACUGUUCCAACGCCACCCCAAGAGUUGUUCAGCUACUUUUUAUUGCGGAGGAUAGCCUCCUCACUUAUUGAGAUUUUUGGGGGGAGGGGGCAGCCACCAAACUAAGGUCCAAUUGCCACAACAGCAGCUGGAUAAAGCCAUGGACGCCACCAACCACCCACACUAACAGCGCUACUGCAGACAAUCUCCUGCUCAAAUAAGCCCCGUCCAUGUCCCAGCAGCCAAUCACCCACCCAACUGUCAAAGCAGCAGCCUACCAAAUACAGUGGUACCUCGGGUUACAGACGCUUCAGGUUACAGACGCUUCAGGUUACAGACUCCGCUAAUCCAGAAAUAGUACCCCAGGUUAAGAACUUUGCUUCAGGAUGAGAACAGAAACCAUGCUCUGGCAGUGCGGCGGCAGCAGGAGGCCCCAUUAGCUAAAGUGGUGCUUCAGGUUAAGAACAGUUUCAGGUUAAGAAUGGACCUCCGGAAUGAAUUAAGUACAUAACCCGAGGUACCACUGUAAAGCCCUGGACGCAUAGGAUCAUAGGACCAGGAAUAGUAGAUUUAGAAGGGACCCAAAAUGUCAUCUGGUUCAACUCUCUGCAAAAAAGGAAUCACAGUGAACCCCCACAACAGACAGCCAUCCUACCUCUGUUUAGAAACCUACAUUGAAGGAGAAACCACCACCUUCCGAGGUAGUCAGUUCCAUGUUGAACAGAAAUCACCGUCCGAACGUUCUUCCUUAUGUCUCGUCGGAUUGAACUUUCUUGUCAUUUGAAUCCUUUGUUUCAAGUCCUCCCCUCUGGAGCAGGAGAAAACAAUCUUGCUUCAUGUUUUGUGGGACAACCCUUGAGAAUAUUGGAAGGUUGUGAUCAUAUCUCCUCUUUCCCAAGCUAAACAUACCCAGCUCCUUCAACCGUUCCUCAUAAGGCUUGGUUUCUGGAUCACCUUGGUCGCCCUCCUCUGUGCACCUUCCAGCUUGUCAAUAUCCCUCUUCAACUGUGGUGCUCAGAACUGGACACAGGACUCCAGGUGGGGUCUGUGACUUCCCUUGAUCUUGAGCUCUUACCUGAAGUCUGAAUUGGCACAGGGAAUUGGCACCCUUCAGUGACAAUGAGGUGUGAGAUAACUUCCCUAGCCUGCGAUCCACUCAGAUACUAUAACACCAGGACAACUCCUUUGUGUGUUUCGUGCCUAUUUCUUCACCACCGUGAAUUGCCCUCGUCAUGAUUUGCCAGCCCACAGCUUCAGUCUCUUGUGUUACAUGGAUGUUCUGGAAACUGAUAAAGAAGUUAAUGUACAUUGAUGACAGGAAUUGAUUUCCAAUUUCCUGUGGAACGACUCUGUCGCUGCCUCUGACUUGGGCAAUUUAGCCUAUAUUACAGUGCUAGCCAAGGGCUAUAGAUCAUUGUGACAGGCCUAGUAACACUGAAUUGUUGACAAGAUAUUGAAGGAGAGUUUUUAAUAUAUAAAACUUUACUGUUCUUCCUCGCUGCCCCCUCCCCCUGGAAAAAAAUCCAGCUCCUACAAUUCCUCUCCUUUGCAGCAGUUCAGUGUGAGGUAUCUGCCUAUGUGCACAGUUCUUGAUAUAACCAAUGAAUAUAAAGCAGUAUCUUACUACUUUAAAAAGCCAUGGCUUCCCCUACAAGAAUCCUGGGAAAUGUAGUUUGUCUAGAGUGUUGCCAGGAGACCCUUAUUCCCAGAGCUACUUAACAACCAAUCCCUCUUCACUGGGAACUCUUGGAAAUGUAGCUCUGGGAGGGGAAUAUUGGGGUCUUCUAAGAACUCUGAGCACCCUCAACAAACUACACUUGAUGGACUAUGCUGAAAUGGCAAAAAUGACGGGAAAACUCAGAAAUCAGGAAUAAUAAUAAUAAUAAUAAUAAUAAUAAUAAUAAUAAUAAUUUAUUAUUAUACCCCACCCAUCUGGCUGGGUUUCCCGAGCCACUCUGGGCAGCUUCCAACAAAAUAUUAAAAUACUGUAAUACAUCAAACAUUAAAAGCUUCCCUAAAGAGGGCUGCCUUCAGAUGUCUUCUAAAAGUUUGGUAGUUAUUUUUCUCUUUGACAUCUGGUGGGAGAGCGUUCCACAGGGCGGGUGCCACUACUGAGAAGGCCCUCUGCCUGGUUCCCUGUAACUUGGCUUCUCGCAGCGAGGGAACUGCCAGAAGGCCCUCGGCGCUGGACCUCAGUGUCCGGGCAGAACGAUGGAGGUGGAGACGCUCCUUCAGGUAUACUGGACCGAGGCCGUUUAGGGCUUGAAAGGUCAGCACCAACACUUUAAUAACUUUAAUAAGGAAUGAGGGGGAUUUAGAAUUUAGCUUAAAAACCACUGUAAACAGUUAAAAACAUUAGCGGGAUUGCAGUGAGACACUUGUAAUGUAUCGAGGACUAUGGAUACAUUGGAGAUAUAAAAAAUUGGAUAAUGAUAAAAGAUGCAGCAGGAAAGGUUUAACAAUAAGACCUACAAAAGGGAGGAGGGAAGUCUAGGAGAUUCAUGGGAAUCUUGUUUUUAUAUAAUAUGUUGUGGUAUGAGUGUAAAUUCUAAUAUGGAAAAUCAAAUAAACAAAUUUUUUGGGGGAAACCAAACAAACUACACUACCCAGGGUUCUUUGGGAGAAAGGCACGACUGCUUAUAGUGGCAUGAUACUGCUUUAAAUGUAUAAUGCAGAUGGGGCCAUUUGUUUCUUGUUCAGAUCCCUGAAGUGACUGUGCCCAGAGGCGGAGCUAGCUGCUCUGGCACCCGGAGCGGCGCACAUGCUGUGCCCAUGGGGGUGCUGCCCGCAUCAAGCAUCCUGGGGGGUGCUGUCCAUGGCGAGCGUCCCAGGGAGGCAGCGUGGUGAUGUCACCCCCCUCAGGGAUGACACCCGGGGUGGACCGGACCCACCGCAUCCCCUUCCUCCGCCAGUGACUGUGCCACACUACCUUUCUUCCAUGCCUCCCCUUCAUAAACAUAUAAAGCAUGGGUAGGCAAACUAAGGCUCGGGGGCCGGAUCCAGCCCACUCACCUUCUAAAUCUGGCUGUGGACAGUCCGGGAAUCAGCGUGUUUUUACAUGAGUAGAAUGUGUCCUUUUAUUUAAAAUGCAUCUCUGGGUUGUUUGCUGACCCCUGAUAUAAAGCGACCUCUGCUGGAUCAGAACAAAGUCUCAUCUAGUCCAGUGUCCUGUUUCUCAUGGCCAAAUAGAUCAGGCAUAGGCAACCUCAGCCCUCCAGAUGCUUUGGGACCACAACUCCCAUCAUCCCCGACCACUGGUCCUGUUAGCUAGAGAUGAUGGGAGUUGUAGUCCCCAAACAUCUGGAGGGCCAAGUUUGCCUAUGCCUGAAAUAGAUGCUUCUCAGAAACCUGGAAGCACAGCAUGAGCACCACAGUCCUUUUCCCCUUGGGAUCCGCAGGAACUGGUCUAUUUGGCCAAAACCAUCUCCUCCCCCCUGGCCAUUUCCCCACGGACUGCAGCCCACCUGACACAUCCCGCCUCAGUGUGUUGCAUCAGUGGCUGAGCAGGAUUAAAUGUGGCUGUUUUGGUUCGUUCACAUCAGAGCUGUCAGGUACAAACUGCAUUAAAUGCUGCUUUGGAGGGCUUUUUUCUUCUUCUCCUUAAGUUUCUGAUCAAAGCUAUUGAAAUAGAUGUAACCCAUGGGCCUCAUUUAAUUGUCGGAGAAAUGACUUAACCAGGUAUUCUAUAUUCGUGUCACAUAUUAUUUGUAUGCAUAUUCAGUGAGCUGCUGUUCCCUUUCUUUCUUCUUCCUUGUGUGCUUUUGUAAAUCAAAGAUCUGCCUGACUGCUGAUUAACAGCUUUGUCCUAAGGCAGUGUGCUGUAGUGGUUAGAGCGCUGGAUUAAAACCCGGGACAUCCAGGUUAGAGUUCAAAUUCAAAUUCACUGGGGCAGUCUCUCCAAAAUACUUUAUAGAGUUAUUGCGAGGAUAAAUCCAGGUGUCACAGUACACCUCUGGAGAAAGGGAGAGAGAAAAAACGUAAUCCAUCCCUAUAGACAAUGCAAAUGGGAUUCUUGCCCUGGAGAAAUUGGCAUCUUUUAGGCCAGUUCCCUUGCUCUGCCUUGCAAACUGCUCUGAGCUCUUGGAGGAAGAGCAGGAUUAAAAUGCAAUGUAAGCACAUUUACUCAGAAGUAAGUCAAUAGUUCUGCCUUGGUACGUAUACAUUAGAUUGCAAGAGAAGUUGCGAUGCUGAAAAAUUCCAAUGAAAACAGAAGCGGGAGCAGAAAUAGUUGAUGUUCUCUUAUUCCUUCAGUGUCUAGAAUGGAAAUCAUUCCAAUAGGUAUUUGCUUGCACUGCUGCUUUCAGUGCACAUAGGAGACACAAUUGAUUACAUGGCCCCACUUGCAAGGUGUUUCCCAAAUGGGGUGGAUUAAUGUUUGUAAUGACAACCUAACUUAUCUAAUUUUACGUAACUGAUUCCAUGGUCACAUCAUUUUGCUACAGUGGACAGUGUGAGAAAUAAUGUAGGGUCGCACAGACGAUGAACUGCAGCAGAAUGGAAACAGCUAUGCAGGUGAUGAGCACAGGGUGGAGUGGAAAACAAUGCCUUCUUAACUCCCUAAAUUGAAGCCAGCUCCAGGGGGCUAAAGCUCUUUGGGCACUCUCAAUCUUUUAUUUUUUUAGGGGUCCCCCCCCAUUGUUGAGGCUGAACAUGGAGCUAGGCGUGAAGCAACGUCAGGGCAUCAUGAGACAUUGCAUGUGUGAUGUUCGGACGUUGCAUUGGGCUCCCUCAACGCACUUUGGAAGAUGGCGCCUCUGCUCCAGGGUCCCAGCAAACAGUCUUUCUCAGCCUUACAUAUCUGGCAACACCAGGGAUGGAACCUGGGGCUUUCCUCAUGCAAUGCAAGAUCAAUACCAUGGAACUGCAGCCUUUCCAAAGGACCAAGGCCCAGGCAGUGAUCUUUAUUAUGACCCAGAGAAUUUUGCCAGUCCUGAAACUCUGAUGUCUGCAUCUGUAGGGUUACAUGUGCUUGCAAACUGUUAAGAUUCUUCAACAUCAGCUUCGUUGGACUGGUCAUGUUGUGCGAAUGCCUGAUUAUUGUCUUCCAAAGCAACUACUCUAUUCUGUACUUAAAAAUGGAAAGUGUAAUGCUGGUGGUCAACAAAAGAGGUUUAAAGACUGUCUCAAGGCAAAGCUAAAUUUUUUUAGUAUAAACAACUGGGAAACAUUGGCCUGAGAGCGCUCCAAUUGGAGAGCAGCCUUUACUAAAGGUGUCAUGGGCUUUGAAAAUGCUCAAACGCAGGACAAAAAGGAGAAACGUGCUAAGAGGAAGGCACGCUUGGCAAACCCUCACAGUGAUUAACUCCCGCUUGGAAACCUAUGUCCCCACUGUGGAAGGACAUGUGGAUUCAGAAUUGGCCUCCACAGUCACUUCGGACUCACCAUUAAGAUCAUGUUCAUGGAAGACAAUCUUACUCGGCCUCGAGUGAUCGCCAAAGAAGAAGAAGAAGAAGAAGAAGAAGGAGGAGGAGGAGGAGGAGGAGGAGGAGGAAGAUUUAUUAUGUUUGCACUUUAGGCGGACACUUUGAAAGUCUUGAAUGCGCAUAAAAUUAAAUAAUGUCUGAAGGGACUGUGUGAAAGGGGGAUCAUCGCUUCAGUCCAAGGCACCAAGUUGUGCCCAACAUUGAGCGGGCCUGUGACAUGAUGUCACACACACACAACAUGCAGCACCGGUGCUCUCGUCAGCAGGGUUGUGCCAGGAUGCCAAAGAUCCAGCCAUCCAGUGUGACCCUUGGAUCUUGGCACAUUGGGAAGGCCAACUGUUGACAGGAGCCUCUGCACUUGCCCUUCUGCACCCCCUCAAUAUUCAGGGCCCCCAGCCCCUUGCCCCCAGAUAUUCAGGGGGCCGAAGACCCUUUGGUCCCCUGUAGCUUGCAUGCCUGGACAGAGUCAACUAAUUAUAUUUUUGGACCCAUCCUCCUCCUCAUUGCUGAGUCUACAAGGGCAACACUGAGGCUUAGGAGGAGGAGGAAGAGGAGGAGGAGGAAGAAGAAACUGACAACCAGGUCAGCUCCCCUGGACUGGAUAUAAACAAGAAGGCAGGCAGGCAGGCAGGCGGAGGCUGGCUGAGGGCAGUCUGAUUUUGGUGGAGCGGUGCCCCCUUUGCCCUAAUGCACCAGCCUCUACUGGUCAUGACCCCCUGUGGGCAUCUCGAGGUGUUGAAGAUGGGCAGGCAAUUUCUUGCUCUCCUCCAUGCAAAUGAGCCUGGCUGGGGGAGAAGUAUCAGUCAAUAAGUCCCCGCGUGGUUAAAGCAAUUGUCCUGCAUCGGUGCUGCUGAGCCGAUAGUAUGAUAACUGCUAGUAAAACACAGCCUGUUGUAGGCAUAAAGGACAACAGUUAUUAGAGCUCGCAUUUUUUAGAAACACUGUUUAUAUUCACCGCAAAGCCUUUUGAUAAAAUUACAGCUGCCAACUGUACGUUUGGGGAUAGUUUAUUCACGGCGUGUCACUCUCAAUUUCCAUCUUUGUCUGCCGCGAGAGCAUGUUAAAUCGGUAAGAGAGGUGGUAUAUUAUCUAGCUUUAAAUGAAUCUCUAUUGUUUAAAUUUCAGGCUCGGGACAAAUUGCUUUCGAAGCCAGGAGAGUGCGGGGUUGGCCUAGCGGCUCAUCAAUUCCAAGAAGAGUGGCAGAGAGAUACAGCGGCACUCAUGUGCUCCAGAGCAGGAGGAAAAGAAGAUUUGCUGCAAUUAAGAUUGAGUGGAGGACCUGGGGAUGGGUGGAGAUGGAAAUACAGGGAGGAUAAUUCGGAGGUUAAAACCUGCCCUUGUUAAAAUUACAUUUCUUUUAUUCUGCCAUCCAUGGAUCACAAUGAUUAGCGAUUUGUUUAUAUGCCACUCAGUUGCCAAUGCAGCUUCUAAGUG